GAUGAACGCUGGCUACAGGCUUAACACAUGCAAGUCGAGGGGAAACGGCAUUGAGUGCUUGCACUGAAUGGACGUCGACCGGCGCACGGGUGAGUAACGCGUAUCCAACCUUCCCGUUACUGCGGGAUAACCUGCCGAAAGGCAGACUAAUACCGCAUGUUCUUCGAUGACGGCAUCAGAUUCGAAGCAAAGAUCCGUCGGUAACGGAGGGGGAUGCGUCUGAUUAGCUAGUUGGCGGGGCGACGGCCCACCAAGGCGACGAUCAGUAGGGGUUCUGAGAGGAAGGUCCCCCACAUUGGAACUGAGACACGGUCCAAACUCCUACGGGAGGCAGCAGUGAGGAAUAUUGGUCAAUGGGCGGAAGCCUGAACCAGCCAAGUAGCGUGCAGGAUGACGGCCCUACGGGUUGUAAACUGCUUUUAUGCGGGGAUAAAGUGAGGGACGCGUCCCUUUUUGCAGGUACCGCAUGAAUAAGGACCGGCUAUUCUCC
rnacentral:rRNA from 1 species